GACGAACGCUGGCGGCGUGCUUAACACAUGCAAGUCGAACGGUGAAGCGCCUUCCUUUUUGGUGGGUGUGGAUGAGUGGCGAACGGGUGAGUAACACGUGAGUAACCUGCCCCCUUCUUCUGGAUAACCGCAUGAAAGUGUGGCUAAUACGGGAUAUUCUGGGUCUGUCGCAUGAUGGGUCUGGGAAAGAUAUUGUUUCGGUGGGGGAUGGGCUCGCGGCCUAUCAGCUUGUUGGUGGGGUGAUGGUCUACCAAGGCGGUGACGGGUAGCCGGCCUGAGAGGGUGGACGGUCACACUGGGACUGAGACACGGCCCAGACUCCUACGGGAGGCAGCAGUGGGGAAUAUUGCACAAUGGGCGCAAGCCUGAUGCAGCGACGCCGCGUGAGGGAUGGAGGCCUUCGGGUUGUGAACCUCCUUCGCCAGUGAAGCAGGCCUGCCUCGUUUGUGGGUGGGUUGACGGUAGCUGGAUAAGAAGCGCCGGCUAACUACGUG
rnacentral:rRNA from 1 species